rnacentral:tRNA from 1 species
GUGGAUAUAGUUUAUCAAAAACAUUAGAUUGUGAUUCUAAAAAUAAGACUUAAAACCCUUUAUCCACC